UCUUAAUUCUGCUGUCUGUGCUUCCAGUAGUUUUGUUACUGGCUGUACUGGCCUUGAUCUACUGCAAAUGCAGAGGAAGAAGAGACGUCCAAAAGAGGACCAAUGAUGGACUAGUGCUGUGUAGUGAAAACGAGAAACAGGGUGAUAUAAAUCCUGAAAGUGAAACUCAAGGAGAAAACUUAAAGCAAGAUGAAAAUGUGGAUGAGGUGACAUAUUCUUCUGUUGUCCACAUUAAGACUGACACCAAACCAGCUCACAAACAGUUUGUCAUGGCAGA